rnacentral:rRNA from 1 species
UACGGGGGGGCAAGCGUUGUUCGGAAUUACUGGGCGUAAAGCGCACGUAGGCGGCGACUCAAGUCAGAGGUGAAAGCCCGGGGCUCAACCCCGGAACUGCCUUUGAAACUAGGUUGCUAGAAUCCUGGAGAGGUGAGUGGAAUUCCGAGUGUAGAGGUGAAAUUCGUAGAUAUUCGGAAGAACACCAGUGGCGAAGGCGACUCACUGGACAGGUAUUGACGCUGAGGUGCGAAAAGCGUGGGGAGCAAACAGGG